rnacentral:rRNA from 1 species
GGACCCAUCCCGAACCCGGAAGCUAAGCCCUCCAGCGCCGAUGGUACUGCACCCGCCAGGGUGUGGGAGAGUAGGACACCGCCGAAC